AUUGAACGCUGGCGGCAUGCCUUACACAUGCAAGUCGAACGGCAGCACGGGAGCUUGCUCCUGGUGGCGAGUGGCGAACGGGUGAGUAAUACAUCGGAACGUACCCUGAAGUGGGGGAUAACGUAGCGAAAGUUACGCUAAUACCGCAUAUUCUGUGAGCAGGAAAGAGGGGGAUCGCAAGACCUCUUGCUUUAGGAGCGGCCGAUGUCGGAUUAGCUAGUUGGUGAGGUAAAGGCUCACCAAGGCGACGAUCCGUAGCGGGUCUGAGAGGAUGAUCCGCCACACUGGGACUGAGACACGGCCCAGACUCCUACGGGAGGCAGCAGUGGGGAAUUUUGGACAAUGGGCGCAAGCCUGGUCCAGCCAUGCCGCGUGAGUGAAGAAGGCCUC
rnacentral:rRNA from 1 species